GAUGAACGCUGGCGGCGUGCCUAAUACAUGCAAGUCGAGCGAACAGAUGAGGAGCUUGCUCCUCUGACGUUAGCGGCGGACGGGUGAGUAACACGUGGAUAACCUACCUAUAAGACUGGGAUAACUUCGGGAAACCGGAGCUAAUACCGGAUAAUAUAUUGAACCGCAUGGUUCAAUAGUGAAAGACGGUUUUGCUGUCACUUAUAGAUGGAUCCGCGCCGCAUUAGCUAGUUGGUAAGGUAACGGCUUACCAAGGCAACGAUGCGUAGCCGACCUGAGAGGGUGAUCGGCCACACUGGAACUGAGACACGGUCCAGACUCCUACGGGAGGCAGCAGUAGGGAAUCUUCCGCAAUGGGCGAAAGCCUGACGGAGCAACGCCGCGUGAGUGAUGAAGGUCUUCGGAUCGUAAAGCUCUGUUAGUAGGGAAGAACAAAUGUGUAAGUAACUAUGCACGUCUUGACGGUACCUAAUCAGAAAGCCACGGCUAACUACGUG
rnacentral:rRNA from 1 species